UGCAUGCCAUGUGAAGGCUGCUUGCUGUUCACGUUCAUAAAAAGGCUAUAAUAAGCUCUUGGCGUGUGAACGCAACCUUUUGACACAUUUCAACUCAGUUCAAAUAAGUAAGAACAAAGGAGGUUGUGUAUACAAUGAGUAUGAGUGACAGGAAUCACCAUUCAAGCUUAAAAUACUUACGUUUUUCUUAUUAUUGUAUUAGACCAGAGUUUGUUGAAAGAAGAGAAGCAUACCUUGGUAAAUUCACUGAUUUGCUUCAUAGCCUUUGAAUCAUAGAAGAAGACCAAUCCUACUCUCAUCUCUGUAUGGAGGUGCCAGUAUAGUUGUGUCUCCAUCACACAAUUCACCAUUUUAUGGGGUUAUCGUGGAUGUUUAUCAGGACUCUGUGAAGGGAAAUGUCUCACUUGGCAACAAAAACACACCUUGCACACAACACCUAUUAAACAAAGUGCAGUUUUGACGCUUGAGCUUUUGCAACUCAUUAAACAACUGAGACCAACAAAUGGGCUAAUUGGUGAAGUUUCGAGACACAAGGAUUUAUUUGUGUAACAAAACCAACCGCACAGUCUACAUGAAAGUGGACCUGUUGUUCUCGUUUCUAGCGCCGUAUUUCAAUUCUUGCAUUCAACCAGAGAAACUUUGAUCAAAAAAAAUAAAAAAUAAAAAAUCCUGAUUUGUGUUGUAAAAGCUCUGGAUGCACACACCUCAUUCACCUGCUAUGUCAAACAAAACUUUUUAAGUUCUUAUUACUUUAAGGCCACAGUUUUAAUUGAUUGGCUGCCCCUCUCAGUCAGAAGAUUUAAACAGCAGGUGAGUGUGGUCUCUCUACUCAGAGGGUUAGUUAGCAGCCCUUCUCUAUGACAUCAUGUAGUGCCAAGAGUAAAACAAGAGAUUUAGGGGUGUUGCAGGGAAUACUUACACACACACUGAUCACAUUAUUUAAAAGACUGACCCUGUAACACUACAGAUAUGACUGGCCCACUUGAACAUGGCAUUUUCAGGGAUCUGAAUUUUCUUUUUUUCACCUAUUAUAAAAAAAAGAAUUACGACAGGCCUGUUCAGAGACCUCAUGGUAUUUGACCAGGUGGUUAACAGCAAUCUGUGGGCUUUAAAUCCAGUCAAAGUAUUGCACAUCUAAAGGCUGGCACUCCUACACCACAAGACCUUUGCAAGCUGCCCUGUGGGAGCAAUGUCUCUCCAGCUCGAGUGGGCAGACAAAAGGUGAGCAGGCUGAGAGGGCGCUGCAGCAUAAGCACCAUCUGUCUGGG
ensembl:lncRNA